UAGGGGGCAAGCGUUAUCCGGAUUUACUGGGUGUAAAGGGCGCGCAGGCGGCGCGGCAAGUCUGGUGUGAAAGCCCGGGGCUCAACCCCGGGACUGCAUUGGAAACUGUCGGGCUGGAGUGUCGGAGGGGCAAGUGGAAUUCCUAGUGUAGCGGUGAAAUGCGUAGAUAUUAGGAGGAACACCAGUGGCGAAGGCGGCUUGCUGGACGACAACUGACGCUGAGGCUCGAAAGCGUGGGGAGCAAA
rnacentral:rRNA from 1 species